AAAAUAGUCAAAAGGUGCAUAUACAUACAUUUGGGUCUAGUACGCGUAACGCCAAACGUCUACUGUUAUUAAACUUUUGUUGCUAUCCAAACACAUGUUUCAUAUAGUUAUUACAACCACAUUGAACUACGGAUUAAGUCGUUUACUUUUCCUAACAUAAGUAUACUGUAACCCGUCUCCUUCCUCGGCAACAGUGGAUUUCUCCGGGUCACAUACCUUUGAUUCUCUGCCCUUCAGCUGUGACAUUUUUUUCAAAAUAUAAAUUAAUAUACAAACAAUGAAUAUUAAAAAAAAAUGAAUAAUCAUCGAAUAUAUCCGACAUAACGAUGAACAAUACAACAUUUUAAAUGAAUAAUUAAUAUGUGUCAACAUUCAAAUAGAACAACAUUGAAUAUAUCCAACAUAACAAUGAACAAGGCACCAUUUUUAAUGAAUAACAACUCUGUAACAACACUGUCAAUGAAUAACCUCAAAUAUAAUCAACAAAAAUAUGCACAUGAUAACAUUUUUUAUGAAUAAUACGAUUAAUCAAACUUACCAUGAUUCAAAGAUUAGAUCUUUGAGGGCAGAUUGUGAUACGCCCGUGUCUUUCAUAUGUGUCGAACUACUAGCAAAAAUCAAAUCCAUUGUUCUUAUUGUGUGCAACUUGGGAUCCACUCCAAUGACUACGUGCAAUACAACAACACAAUCGUAAAAGGACUUUCGAAAUUUGCCAAGAAAUUACUCGCCCAAAAGUUCAGACUCAAAAUUCACCCAAAUAUUACUCGAAAUCGUAAAAGGGUUUUCGAAAAAAUUCAGACAAAAGGAAAAACACCACAUAUUCAACAAAUUUAACAUCGACAUUCACAAAUCGACAAUACAAAAAAUAAAUUUUCAAAGUUUAAGUGAAUUCUUACUAUGAUCUUUUGCAAAAAUCGAGAGGAAGAAGAUGACUUUCAACGGCAAAAAAUUGGUUUCGCGGCCAUUUGAGAGAAAUAAAAUCCCUACUCUAUUGCGUUCUACCGCCGUUUGGUGAAGUCCAAAAGAUACCCAAAACUAUUCAAUGAAUUGGAAAAGGAAAGGCGAAAAAGUUGGGAUUGGUUUGAUGCGCAUUGAUUACCAAUUUUCAAGAUUACUGUAGUACCCUUUUUAAUUCACAGAAAAUUGUUCAGCAAAUUUUCGAAUUUAAUGUAGAAUAUAUUGACAAUUUAAUAUCAACCGUUAGAUUGAUGAAAAUUAAC
rnacentral:lncRNA from 1 species